GUACAUCCAGAUGGAUCAGCUGGGUGAGUUCCGAAAAAUCAGCUGAAUUUUUUUUUUAAAGGUGGCUGAGUCUUCACCAUGCAUCUAGCUGCAGCUGGUCCAGUUAAAAAAGUCAAUGACUAAAAUGACCCUGCUACACAUAACCCUAAAAUUAAAGAGCUUCACUCUCAUCUCUCACGUAUUCUCUUGGCGGCCAAUUUUUUUCUCCUGCAAUCUCUCUCCGGCGACGUCUCUCCUGUGAUCUCUCUCCGGCGACCUCUCUCCGGCGACCUCUCUCUCUAUCAACAGGUGCAAGAAGAAGCUUUGAAGAGAAACAAUGACAUCCAUCCCUGGAACUGAUAAUCUUACAUGGAGUGACGAACAAACACUCUUCUUUCUUCAACUAAGACUUUAUGAGAAUCUGAAAGGAAACAUAAGAAAACAGAUGGUUAAUGAGGCUGGGAGAUAGGCGAUAAUGGACAUGUUCUAUGAGGCAUUUCGCAUAAAAAUUCCAUGAAGAAAAUUUGGGAUAAGGUACAAUACUUGCAAUUUGUAAAAUUAUAGUCAUUGUUUAUAAUUUCAUUGUCAUAGUUUCAUGAAAAUAAAUAUAUAAAUGUUAAAAUAAUAAUUUUCAAAUGAUUUUGUUGUAAUUAUAAUUUAGAUAAGAUAUUAAAAUUAAUAGGAUUAAUAAAAAAAAACAUGAGUUAAGAGUAAGAUUACAAGACAUGUCCAUUUUAGGCAUUUUAUCAUCAAAUGCAUCUGGAUGCAACUGCAUGUUCAAAAAAAGAAAUCAAACGAACACAUCUACAUCCAGAUGCUUCAUCUGGAUGCGCCUUCCAAAUGUACAAACAAACAACAUCAAGAUGGAGCAUCUGAAUAAGACAUCCAGAUGGAUCAUCUGGAUGCACCUUUCAGAUGUACAAACGAACAUGGCCGACAUAAUCAAAAUACAUUGCAGUGAGAGAUUGAGUUUUGGCCCAUAAUUAAUUAUUUUAAGAGAUUAUGUGGUUCCCGGAUAUGAAUCGAAGAAGGUUAGUGGUGUCGAGGAUGGUGGAGGAUUUCAAGUUAUCGAGUCGGUAUGGGGUGAAGACUGAGGAGGUAAUCCGUUAGAUUUGGAUUGAGUGAGCUAGGGUUCAUGGCAAGAGAGAUGAUUUGGGAACUAGGAAUUUAGGGAUUUUUAUUUACGGGUUAAGGGUCCGAUUACUAUUCCGGGUCAUUAGGUUAUGUAGUCCCGGUUUACUAUUUCUAAUCGGGUCAUUUUUGGUUAACUACGGUAGUCAUUAGUUUUCAUUUAAAUCACUGAAUAUUAAACCAAACUUAAACCAUUAUAUGUGGAUAUCUGUUUCAUCUUAAACUUUGUGUAUAAAUAGGUUUUGAACUUCCAAAAUGGGGGUAAAUAGGUUUGUAUACUUAUAAGGCAUAUAGUUAGAACGAACAUGAAAAUUUGUGUGUAAUUGUUGAUAUACGAUAUUUAUGGUGUGGAAAUAGGUCGUUUACUCAAUAUCUGAAAUUGUAUACUUUUCAAAUAUUUAAAUAAUUAGACGAUCAAUUAGGGAUUCUAGAAAACCCAAAUUGUUUGUUUUGCAUUGAUUUGUAUAUCAUAAUAAUUUUAUUAUAAGUUUCAUAAUGAGCAGUUUUUAUAUAUUGAAUCAAUAUGUCUUUUUUACUUUUUAAUAUCUACGAAUUGAAAAGUUAUAAUUUAUUUUAAUCUAUUCACUCUGGAAAAA